rnacentral:rRNA from 1 species
UUGAACGCUGGCGGCAUGCUUUACACAUGCAAGUCGAACGGUAGAGGGCUUCGGCCCUUGAGAGUGGCGAACGGGUGAGUAAUGCAUCGGAACAUACCCAGUCGUGGGGGAUAACGUAGCGAAAGUUACGCUAAUACCGCAUACGUCCUGAGGGAGAAAGCGGGGGAUCGCAAGACCUCGCGCGAUUGGAGUGGCCGAUGUCAGAUUAGCUAGUUGGUGGGGUAAAGGCCCACCAAGGCGACGAUCUGUAGCGGGUCUGAGAGGAUGAUCCGCCACACUGGGACUGAGACACGGCCCAGACUCCUACGGGAGGCAGCAGUGGGGAAUUUUGGACAAUGGGGGAAACCCUGAUCCAGCCAUUCCGCGUGAGUGAAGAAGGCCUUCGGGUUGUAAAGCUCUUUCGGCAGGAACGAAACGGCGGAUACUAAUAUUAUCCGUUACUGACGGUACCUGAAGAAGAAGCACCGGCUAACUACGU